CGGCUGGAUCAUGCUGUGGAGGCACUCCUAUAUAUGACAUGGAAUCUGACUUUAGUGUCAGGCUGCGCAAAAGAAAACCAAAAAGAACAGCGACGAGCGCAUCCUUAUAUUACAAAAAUGGAAUGUGAUGGUGCUUACAGAACCUAACUCAAGAAUCUGCUGCCCCUACUUCUUACCACCUGGCACAUUCAGGCAACCCGAUCAAGGUUCUGGCAAAAUCCAUAUACACCCGUGCCUUUGCCCUUUGCAGUCCAUAUCACCGAGGAGCAACGAGUAUCUUCCUGGUGCCACCACCAAUAGGUUUUGUGAGUUAUGUCACC